GCCACACCAUAUUCAAACACAGGUUCCCAUACAAUCACCAAAGUUAAGCAAUAACAAGCCUGGUCAGUACCAAGAUGGGUGACUGCUUGGGAAUAUCAGGUGCUGUAAG